CCUACGGGGGGCAGCAGUGAGGAAUAUUGGUCAAUGGGCUUACGCCUGAACCAGCCAAGUCGCGUGAGGGAAGACUGCCCUAUGGGUUGUAAACCUCUGUUGUCAGGGAGCAACGCCGGCUACGAGUAGCCGGACUGAGAGUACCUGAAGAAAAAGCAUCGGCUAACUCCGUGCCAGCAGCGGCGGUAAUACGGAGGAUGAGAGCGUUGUCCGGAUUUAUUGGGUUUAAAGGGUGCGUAGGCGGAAUGCCAAGUGAGCGGUAAAAGCGCGGGGCUCAACCUCGCUCCGACGUUGAGACUGGCGGUGUUGAGUGGGCGAGAAGUAUGCGGAAUGCGUGGUGUAGCGGUGAAAUGCAUAGAUAUCGCGCAGAACUCCGAUUGCGAAGGCAGCAUACCGGAGCCCAACUGACGCUGAAGCACGAAAGCGAGGGUAUCGAACAGGAUUAGAUACCCCUGUAGUC
rnacentral:rRNA from 1 species